UACGUAGGUGGCGAGCGUUGUCCGGAUUUACUGGGCGUAAAGAGCGCGCAGGCGGUCGUCCAAGUCGCGUGUGAAAGCCCCCGGCUCAACUGGGGAGGGUCACGCGAUACUGAUCGACUGGAAGGCAGGAGAGGGUAGUGGAAUUCCCGGUGUAGUGGUGAAAUGCGUAGAUAUCGGGAGGAACACCAGUGGCGAAGGCGACUACCUGGCCUGUUCUUGACGCUGAGGCGCGAAAGCUAGGGGAGCAAACGGG
rnacentral:rRNA from 1 species